rnacentral:siRNA from 1 species
GAUCUCUGGUCUUCACCAACGU